rnacentral:lncRNA from 1 species
CUAUUCUGGGGAGGGCGAAGACGCCAGGAGGAUUCCAGCUCCAGGAGCCAGCCGCCCUGUGGCCCCCGUCGUGGGGAGGAGAGGCCGGGAGCGGCGCGGUGGGCAGAGUGGGGCCAUCUGGGUCCCCUGUGGCUGCUGGGCUGACCCUGGCACACGGGGUGCCUGCAGAUGGCUAUAUGGAAAGCACAGGUGUUUCUGCUUCUGGAGAGGCCCCAGGAAGCUUCCAACCGUGGUGGAAGGCGAAGCGGGAGCAGGUGUCUCACAUGGCGUGAGCGGGAACGAGAAAGACAGAGCAGAGAAACGUGCAGAGGAAAUGGUUGGAGAGCGAAGUCCAGGCACAGGGGCCAUGAGAGCCGGACCCCACGCAGCUGCAGACCCCGACCCAAACUGCAUGCGGCUGAGGACCCCCAAGCCAGGCAGACCCGGACCCAGACCCCACGCGGCCGCGGACCCCAACCCAGACAGACCCCGACCCACCCGUGCAGCCCCCAGC